rnacentral:rRNA from 1 species
ACGGCGAGUGAAGCGGCAACAGCUCAAAUUUGAAAUCUGGCUCUCUUUGGGGGUCCGAGUUGUAAUUUGCAGAGGAUGCUUUGGCAUUGGCGGCGGUCUAAGUUCCUUGGAACAGGACAUCGCAGAGGGUGAGAAUCCCGUACGUGGGCGCCUGCCUUUGCCGUGUAAAGCUCCUUCGACGAGUCGAGUUGUUUGGGAAUGCAGCUCUAAAUGGGAGGUAAAUUUCUUCUAAAGCUAAAUACCGGCCAGAGACCGAUAGCGCACAAGUAGAGUGAUCGAAAGAUGAAAAGUACUUUGGAAAGAGAGUCAAAAAGCACGUGAAAUUGUUGAAAGGGAAGCGCUUGCAGCCAGACUUGCCCGCAGUUGCUCACCUAGGCUUUGGCCUGGGGCACUCUUCUGCGGGCAGGCCAGCAUCAGUUUGGGCGGUUGGAUAAAGGCCUCUGUCACGUAUCUUCCUUCGGGAUGACCUUAUAGGGGAGGCGUAAUGCAACCAGCCCGGACUGAGGUCCGCGCAUCUGCUAGGAUGCUGGCGUAAUGGCUGUAAGCGGCCCGUCUUGAAACACGGACCAAGGAGUCUAACAUCUAUGCGAGUGUUUGGGUGUCAAGCCCGGGCGCGCAAUGAAAGUGAACGGAGGUGGGAACCCUUUGGGUGCACCAUCGACCGAUCCUGAUGUCUUCGGAUGGAUUUGAGUAAGAGCAUAGCUGUUGGGACCCGAAAGAUGGUGAACUAUGCUUGAAUAGGGUGAAGCCAGAGGAAACUCUGGUGGAGGCUCGCAGCGGUUCUGACGUGCAAAUCGAUCGUCAAAUUU